GACGAACCGUGCAAACGUUGUUCGGAAUCACUGGGCAUAAAGGGCGCGUAGGCGGUCGGUCAAGUCUGGGGGUGAAAUCUUUCGGCUCAACCGGAAACGUGCCCCGGAUACGGAUCGGCUGGAGGGAGGUAGGGGUCGACGGAACUUCCGGUGGAGCGGUGAAAUGCGUAGAUAUCGAUGAAGACGCACGAGGUGGAAGCGGACG
rnacentral:rRNA from 1 species